rnacentral:rRNA from 1 species
CUACGGGGUGCUGCAGUGAGGAAUAUUGCACAAUGGGGGGAACCCUGAUGCAGCAACGCCGCGUGGAGGAUGACGCAUUUCGGUGUGUAAACUCCUUUUAUAUGUCAAGAAAAUGACGGUAGCAUAUGAAUAAGCACCGGCUAACUCCGUGCCAGCAGCCGCGGUAAUACGGAGGGUGCAAGCGUUACUCGGAAUCACUGGGCGUAAAGGACGCGUAGGCGGGUUGGAAAGUCAGGUGUGAAAUCCUACAGCUUAACUGUAGAACUGCACUUGAAACUUCUAAUCUAGAGGAUGGGAGGGGGAGAUGGAAUUAGUGGUGUAGGGGUAAAACCCGUAGAUAUCACUAGGAAUACCUAAAGCGAAGGCGAUCUCCUGGAACAUUACUGACGCUAAGGCGUGAAAGCGUGGGGAGCAAACAGGAUUAGAUACCCCUGUAGUC